rnacentral:rRNA from 1 species
UACCAGCACCCCGAGUGGUCGGGACGAUUAUUGGGCCUAAAGCAUCCGUAGCCGGUUCUGCAAGUCUUCCGUUAAAUCCAGCUGCUUAACAGAUGGGCUGCGGGGGAUACUACAGAGCUAGGAGGCGGGAGAGGCAAGCGGUACUCAGUGGGUAGGGGUAAAAUCCGUUGAUCCAUUGAAGACCACCAGUGGCGAAGGCGGCUUGCCAGAACGCACUCGACGGUGAGGGAUGAAAGCUGGGGGAGCAAACAGG